rnacentral:rRNA from 1 species
UACAGAGGAUGCAAGCGUUAUCCGGAAUGAUUGGGCGUAAAGCGUCUGUAGGUGGCUUUUUAAGUCCGCCGUCAAAUCCCAGGGCUCAACUCUGGACAGGCGGUGGAAACUACCAAGCUGGAGUACGGUAGGGGCAGAGGGAAUUUCCGGUGGAGCGAUGAAAUGCGUAGAGAUCGGAAGGAACACCCAAGGCGAAAGCACUCUGCUGGGCCGACACUGACACUGAGAGACGAAAGCUAGGGGAGCAAAUGGG